CACUACAGCCAGAUCACCUUGGGCCUGUGCUCUUGUCAGAUCACAUAAACUAAAUGGGGUCAAGCCUGGUUAGUACUUGGAUGGGAAACUUCCAUGGAAAACUAGGGUGUUUGUUUGUAGUUC
rnacentral:rRNA from 1 species